AACACUUUAUCCUUAAAUCAGCGAAGAUGCAUGGUCAGGAUACUAGUUUCACACCUUAUGAAUCGCUUUGGAGAAAACCCAUCCUCUGAGCAAAAGAUGUGUUUGGCUGUUUCUCUGGUUGAGCAAUAUCCCUGUCUUAAGGACUCCCAGGGUAAAGGCUAUGAAGCAUGGUUCAGCCCUGGACGAAGCCAUCGUCCAGCUACUGGAUUUCUGGAGGAACGCUUGCGAAAUGUCAGGAAGAGAACCC